rnacentral:rRNA from 1 species
UAAUACGUAGGGGGCAAGCGUUGCUCGGAAUUACUGGGCGUAAAGGGAGUGCAGGCGGCCGGUUAAGUCAAAGAUGAAAUCCCGAGGCUUAACUUCGGAAUGGUCUUUGAUACUGAUCGGCUUGAGGCUGGCUGAGGAGAGCGGAAUUCCCGGUGGAGCGGUGAAAUGCGUAGAUAUCGGGAGGAACACCAGAGGCGAAGGCGGCUCUCUAACCUAGUCCUGACGCUGAGACUCGAAAGCUAGGGGAGCAAACGGG